CUUAAGAAAAUGCACAAGAAAAUUUUCGUGUUCUUUCUUCUGCUUGAAAUAGUAGUAGGCCAGUAAUUUUGACGUUUGAUAAUGCACCGUGAAUAGUAAACAAUGGCAGAAGAAGAGCGGUAAAAAGUAAACAAAAGAAACAAUCUUUUGCCUAUGACCAAUUUGAGAUAGUUUUCACUGAUAUCGGAACAUCACUAUAUCUACCGAAGAAAUCUAUUUGUCGGACAGUCGACUUUUAAAAGCAUUAAAAUUGUACCAUUUUUUAUAUCGAAAUAUUUUCGACAUCCCUAUUUUCAAAUUGUUCUGCCUUACCAAUAUAUAAUCACACAUUCUACAAAACUAUUUUUUACCGACUAAGACUUGAAUUAUCAAUACGGCAGUGGUGAAAAGUUCAGAUAGAUUUAUCAAAUAGGUAUAUGCCGUGCCUGUUUGUCGCCGGAAGAUCGGGUGCAUCUGCUAGAUUGGCAUCAGCCUGUUGACUCUUUGGAUAUAUCAUACAAAGAGUGUUUUUGUAAAUGUACACAAAUUAAUUUAAGUUUGAAAGAUGAUCUAAAUGAACUCGAUGAUGCCCGGACGCAAUAUCUAUGCCUUGAUUGUGCCCAAAAACUUAAAGACGUUUAUGAUUUUAUUGAAAAGGCGAGAAGGGCUGAUAAUGAAUUACGUUGCACACAACCGAAAAAGUGAAGAUAGAAAGUAUAGCCAACACUUUUGAAUGGGUUCCAGUACAUGAAGAGCUAAUGGAAGAUCACGUAGAGGAUAUAAAAGUAUCACCAGAAUGGACUGAACAUUUUAUGGAUGAUGAUGAAAAAUCUGCAUC